GACGAACGCUGGCGGCGUGCCUAAUACAUGCAAGUAGAACGCAGUUGCGAACGGGUGAGUAACGCGUAGGUAACUGCCUCAUAGCGGGGGAUAACUAUUGGAACCGAUAGCUAAUACCGCAUACUGUGCGAUGGACCUGCGUUGUAUUAGCUAGUUUGUGCGGUAAAGGCUCACCAAGGCGACGAUACAUAGCCGACCUGAGAGGGGUAUCGGCAACACUGGGACUGUGAAACGGCCCAGACUCCUACGGGAGGCAGCAGUAGGGAAUAUUGCACAAUGGGCGAAAGCCUGAUGCAGCCAUGCCGCGUGUAUGAAGAAGGCCGUCGGGUUGGAAAGUACUUUCAGCGAGGAGGCGUUACUCGCAGAAGAAGCACCGGCUAACUCCGUGCUAGCAGCCGCGGUAAUAC
rnacentral:rRNA from 1 species